AAGGAUCAUUAGUGAACGCCCUCACGGGCUUAUAACUAUUCCAAACCUCUGUGAACCGUGCCCUUCGGGGCUAUUUUACAAACAUGGUGUAAUGAACGUCAUAUAUCAUAACAAAACAAAACUUUCAACAACGGAUCUCUUGGCUCUCGCAUCGAUGAAGAACGCAGCGAAAUGCGAUAAGUAAUGUGAAUUGCAGAAUUCAGUGAAUCAUCGAAUCUUUGAACGCACCUUGCGCCCUCUGGUAUUCCGGAGGGCAUGCCUGUUUGAGUGUCAUGUAGACUCAAUCCCUCGGGUUUCCGAGGAGAUUGGACUUGGGUGUUGCCGCUCUGCCGGCUCGCCUUAAAAGACUUAGCGGGAUAGCACCGUAGUCGGCGUAAUAAGUUUCGUCGGUGAAGGUUGUGAUGACUGCUUACAAUCGCCCUCGGGCAAUUUUUGACUCUGACCUCAAAUCAGGUAGGACUACCCGCUGAACUUAAGCAUAUCAAUAAGCGGAGGAAAAGAAACUAACAAGGAUUCCCUUAGUAGCGGCGAGCGAAGCGGGAAGAGCUCAAAUUUGAAAGCUGGCGUCCUUCGGGCGUCCGCAUUGUAAUCUAUAGAGGCGUUUUCUGUGCUGGACCGUGUCCAAGUCCCUUGGAACAGGGUAUCAAAGAGGGUGACAAUCCCGUACUUGACACGACAACCAGUGCUCUGUGAUACGUCUUCUACGAGUCGAGUUGUUUGGGAAUGCAGCUCAAAAUGGGUGGUGAAUUCCAUCUAAAGCUAAAUAUUGGCGAGAGACCGAUAGCGAACAAGUACCGUGAGGGAAAGAUGAAAAGCACUUUGGAAAGAGAGUUAAACAGUAUGUGAAAUUGUUGAAAGGGAAACGAUGGAGGUCAGUCGUGUCUGUGGGAUUCAGCCGUCUCUGGCGGUGUACUUCCCACAGACGGGUCAACAUCAGUUUUGGUCGGCGGAUAAAGGCAGGAGGAAGGUGGCACCCCCGGGUGUGUUAUAGCCUCUUGUUGCAUACGCUGGCCGAGACUGAGGAAUGCAGCUCGCCUUUAUGGCCGGGGUUCGCCCACGUUCGAGCUUAGGA
rnacentral:sRNA from 1 species